UGACCGUGGCGGUGUAGGUGGAAGCAGUGAUGGAGGAGGAGGAUGAGGUAGCCAACACUGUUUUUUUAUAUAUUUAUAUAUUUUUUUAAAUGGGGUAGCCCCCAAAAUAUUGGGACAUAUAAAAAAAGACAACUCUGUUCCGCAGAGUAGGUGUUAACAUUAUAGUUGCUCAGGCACUUUGUUGACUCUGGAGAACCUCGGGCCAAGAGCACAUCCCCGUGACGGCGACUUUGCAUUUUGGAUGUCAUCCAUAUCAACUUUCGAUAGCAGUUUCUGCGCCUACCAUGGUGACCACGGGUAACGGGAAAUCAGGGUUCCAUUUCAUACAGGGACCCUGAGAAACGUCUACCACAUUCAAGGAAGGCAGCAAGCGCAAAUGACCCACUCCCUACGUGGGAAGGUAGUAACAACAAAUAACAAUACAGGACUCUUAGAGGGCCUAUAAUUGUAAUGAGUCCACUUGAAAUCCUUUAGCUCUGAUCAAUUGGAGGGAAGUCUGGUGCAGAGCCACUGACCCGUGCGUGCUGCAGUUGAAACUCCACU